CUACGGCUGCAGCAGUGAGGAAUAUUGCACAAUGGGGGAAACCCUGAUGCAGCAACGCCGCGUGGAGGAUGACGCAUUUCGGUGUGUAAACUCCUUUUAUCAGAGAAGAAAAUGACGGUAUCUGAUGAAUAAGCUCCGGCUAACUCCGUGCCAGCAGCCGCGGUAAUACGGAGGGAGCAAGCGUUAUUCGGAAUCACUGGGCGUAAAGGACGCGUAGGCGGGUUUUUAAGUCAGGUGUGAAAUCCUAUGGCUCAACCAUAGAACUGCACUUGAAACUGGGGACCUAGAGUAUGGAAGGGGCAGGCGGAAUUAGUGGUGUAGGGGUAAAAUCCGUAGAUAUCACUAGGAAUACCGAAAGCGAAGGCGACCUGCUGGGACAUUACUGACGCUGAGGCGUGAAAGCGUGGGGAGCAAACAGGAUUAGAUACCCGUGUAGUC
rnacentral:rRNA from 1 species